rnacentral:lncRNA from 1 species
CGCGCCUCCUGAUAUCGCGAGGAGGGAGCGGCGAUUGGGCCUGGUUCCGCCUCGCCCCUUCCCGCCCUGAGGGUUGGCUGAUGCAAUGUGGCCACGCUUGCAAAUAGCCCGAGAGCCUGGAUUUGGGCUCCUCGUGUCGCGGGGAAGUCAAUACCUCUGGAGUCACAGGAGCGGGUAAGGAGGAAAGAGCCAGGUGGUCCUCUACACAUACCCUAUACAUUAUAACACCUAUAUGUAGCAGUGAAGCUAUGUUUGGAAUUGGGUGCGAACAGUGGUGUUUGUGUGGGAGAAUCAAAGUUGGUCAGCCCUUACAAAGGAGUGAAGAAGGGAACUGAUUUGGAGACACUUCCAUGGAAAACCCUGGCAAGAGGAACUCAUUCCAGAAGCAGUGUAUGCUAUAAUAAAAUUCAACUCCAAUCAGGAAUUCCCUUGCAGCAUCUGUUUCAACAGCAUUAACUAUUAUGGUUAUACUCUUGCGACAUUCUUAUUCAUGAUGAACACCUGUAUCUUCUGGUGAUGUUAGACCCUGUGGGUAAGCUCUCAGUGACUGCCUUUGCAUAACAUAACAUAAUUUAAUUUCACAUUAAAACAGAAAUCAGGCACAUUGGCUAGGGUCACACAACAGCCUAAGGAUUGAAUACAUUGCUGCCUUUUGUAUAGAAAAUAUGUAUAAACACGUAGUGCUAUUUCCUCUUGUCUUUCCUCAUAAUAACUCUGUGAGAAAGGCUGGGUUUAUUCAUUUUAUUUCAGAAAAGUGACUGCUUUAUGUCAGCUAAUCUUAAGUAAAUACACUUGGGUGGGAAUAUGAUCAGUGUUAAACAACACAGAGUUAGGUUAGGUUUUUAAAAAAGAAAAAAAAACACUGGCUUGAAGUGAUUCAGUAACAAAAUAUUUGAAAAAAGGUUAAAAAAAGAUCUCAGUUGUUAUGAAUUGACUAAACACAGGCAAAAAUUUUAGGUGCAAAUUUUUCCUUGUGCCAAAUAACUGCAUUUUUUGAAACAUUGAUGGGAUUUCUUAUAUAAUGUCCUUGUUUAAACAUGCCACUAAUUUAUAAUUAUUGCCUACCCUGGACCACAAAGGGAUUAAUACCCGUAUUUUAGAAGUGUGUUGUGAGAACCCUGAUUGUAAGGUUAGUUCAUAUAUAGUGCAUUGAAUAAACUAUGAAAAAUAAGUUGAGUAAACUACAUUACAGUUAAUCCUGGCAAAAUACUUUACUGUAAAAAUA